ACAACAAGCAGAUAGCAGGCGCCUGGAGGAGAGGGCCGGCCCCCAGGCCACCGGGACUCAGCUCCUGCCAUCUGACAGUACGGUGGUGAGCUGCUCUGUCCUCUUGUGGUCCUGUGAACGUGCCUCAUCCUGUUUGUCCUUAUCAGGACAUCAGGGUACCUGCUGGGCUGAAAAGCAGGGAAGACAAAGGUAAACGAGGUGCCAACUGGUCCAGCUUCUCAGGGAUUUUAUUUACUCAGCAUCUGGAAAACCUUGGGCAAAUGCACAGGCCUUCUCAACAGUCUGCUUCACUGAGGUUAAGAGAAGUCAUCGCCUUUUCCUCAGCCUAACAGCCCGCCCACACUGAGCUCUGUCCCGUGCCUCUUCUCACAGACAUGCAGGCAGAACCAGGGCUCUGCUGCUCUGAUGGCACGCUGCUGCUGCUGUGCUGCCAUCUUCCAUGGGCCAUCAUCUGCCAGCCGUGCGGUGUCACUGCCUGCUGACAGGCAUCGGCCCCUUCACAUCCCCUCCUGCACAUUGCUCCUUUGUUUUCCUGCUAAUUCCGAGAAGCAGGUCUGUGCCAUUUCCAGCCCCCGAUCCUCCAGGAACAAAUGCCAAAACUGAAAGCCAAUACUUGGGAAUGUUGUCCUGGAGGUAUCGACAGAAACACUUCCCAUCAUUUCAUUUACCGAGGAAAACACCCUUGAAAACACUCCACUGUGGAACGCCUUCCUUGUCUUGGUCACCUCUGGGACUUCCAGCGUCUUCUUGGGGCGAGACCUUCACCGGGACCCGCCCCACUUCUCACUUGUGACCAAAGCACUCAAAAAGAGUGAAGAAAGCAGAGGAAGUGCCCUCUGCCAUCUGGCGUGAGGGAGCUGCCCAUGCUUCAAAGCCCCGCGCGGACAGGAAGGGCUGUGGGGCGAUGCCGAGUGUGGGGCGAGGAAAUGGCGGGGCCGAUGGGACAUGAAAGCCGCGAGCGUGUCAAAGGCAGGACGGAAGUGUUGUAGAGGGCAGCCCUAUUUUUAGCCGCCUCUUGCGAGCUAGCGCUCGCUGUAGAAGAGCUGCUUCCCCUUUCCUUGAUGUAAGCAGAGCCCCAUUGGCGUUUGGGCCUGUUUUUAUUUGGCCACUCACGCAGUUAUGCUGACUGAAAGGUCCCUUGAGCACCGCUGACUCAAAAACACCCAUGGUCGCAGAGUCCUGAGCAAGGAGAACAGAAAGCAUCUGGCACUUCCCUGUCCCCAUUUCAGGACCGAGAGAGGUAGAACCCAAAGCUGAGGCUGCAGAGCGUGACUCUUAGUCAUAUCAACAGGGGAUUUUGCAAUUGGUGGGUGCGGGGUGCGAGGCAGGCAGUCUGCAAGCAAAUUUGAAGUGCUCUGCAAAGCACUGGAGUGGGGUUCCUCUGCUGCCAGGCCUGCGCAGCACAGUGCGGCCCUCACUCCCUGCUGCCCUGCAGCCUGCCGGGCCGCUCCAUUUGGGCACAGGGUUUAGCACAAGUGAGCAGGCAGCUCACGUGGUGAGCGGUGGGUGGCCAUGGCUGCCCUGUAUCUGCCUCCUGUUCACAUUUGCAGCAGCCGACUUCUAUGCAAGGCAGGGUCUAAAGUGGAUCCCGCUGAGUUUGGCCCAGUUUGGCUGGUGCUGUUCAGCUCAGGGACAGGAUGGAAGGAUGGAGUUGAGACUCAUAGAGCCAGCACUCCCAGCAUCCCAUUCCUGCAGCGGAUACACAGAUUACCUAUCAGUAGAGCUCCUUCUUAAGCCGGAUUGAUUAAGGCAGAAUUUGCAAUCGUUGAAUGAGAGAUGACACAAUCAUAGAAUGGCUCAGGUUGGAGGGGACGCUAAAGAUCACCCAGUUCCAGCCCGCCGCCGUGGGCAGGGAUGUGGAUGGAGAAGUGCUUUGUACUGUAACAGUUUCAUUUAGAAGCGAGAAGUCCUUCAUGAGGAGGUAGUGGGAGGAGGAGGUUAUUGACAAUGCCACUCCUGUCCGAAGGAAUGUGCUGGAAAGUUGCAGUGGCCUCUAGAUGGCAGCCCCAUUACUCACUCGUCAGAAAACUGAAAAUAAACGCCUUCCCUUUCAAAGCUGGACUUACAGGCAGGCCUAAAGCUUCGGGAGCUCAGACCAAAACCCGCGGGCAGUCAAGAUGACAGUGGGACCCAUCCGGCUUUGUUUUUUCCCCUUCGCCUCGCCCAAAAGGAGGAGCGAGGACUCGCUUCCCUCUGGACUCUGUAUUUGGUAAUGGGCCGGGAGCUGCCGCUGGGAGCUCGUCCUGACGUUCCUGGAGUCGUCUGGAAAGCGAGGCGGAGCCGCGGUGCUGUGCCCAGGGGUGCGCCUCGCCCCGGGUGCCGGCGGCUCUGCUGGGAGCGGGAGGUCCGCGCCGUGCUGCCGUGUGUGACCCGUGGGACGCGGGGCGGGCAGCUUCCACAGCACCAGAGCAGCGCUCUGCCAGAGCUAUUUGUAUAGUAAAUUGCUGUAUUGUUUCAAUUAAAAAAACGCAGCCGGGCAUUUAAUGGCUCCCAUCUGCGGCCACUCUGCGUAAUUCACUUCCCACUUUAAGGUUUUGCCAGCAGAUUUAGUCUGAGCCUCAUCAGCAGGGGACCUGGAUAAGAAACCGUGGUCAGCUGCCUCUCAGCUCCGAGCCAGUCUUCCUCAAAGAGCGACGGUAACUUUGGAUGCCACGACUGCGUGACACGCAGCUGCAACCUUGACCUGGUAGGAUCUCCUACGGUCAGAUCCAGCAGAGAGCCGUGCUGUGUGUGUGGUGACACGCAUACUGACCUACGUGUGCACGUGAAGACUUCCAGAGCUGCAUCUGCUUCAGACGUGACACUGAUGUCACCCCACGGAUGCUGCCUCGCUGUGGACAAGGCAACGGACCAAAGUUGGCGUUAUUUCCUCCGUGGAGAGCAGGGACCUCAAGGAUGGCUCUGGUGCAGCUGGCGCUCCCGUGGCGGGCAGUCACAGCCCACGCCAACCCUCUGCCCACCGCGCCUUCAUACCCUGGGGGUCAGAGUGGGCUGAGGCAGGUCCUAGGCGAGUGCUCCCACUGCCGAGCCUGCAGCUUGGUCACCAGCGCCCUCCGGCCAGCCUCAUAAACAUCACCCACCGGGCUCUGCUGCCCAUCCCCUGCUCCCCCAGCCAAGGGUCACGAGCUGCGGCCGGCAGCCGGCUGCCAAACACAGCCGUGGCUCUGUGCAGCCAGCCUGCGAGAGGUCGUCACACGCCUCCUUAAGCAAACAGGGAUCCACGCCAGUUGAUAAAUCAUUUACGAGGAGAAGUCAGAAGCAAGGAACUAGAUUAACCAGGUCACUGGGUGUCCUGAGGGAAUGACGUGUCAGUGGAGCUGAAACAGCAGAUCCCGCAGUUGCAAUCUGUUGCCUUCUUCUGUCCUGACAGCAAUUCAUGGAAAUCCCUGGAACUAGACACUAGUGAUGGAAAAAUCCAUUAGCUCAUCCAAAGUCAGCUUGCUAGUUAAAGCAGUCACUCCCAUUGUACAUUUUUUGGCAGAGUUAAAAUGUCUCAAGAGAGGGGAUUUCCACCAGUUCCUUCUCAAGGGGAAACUAUUCCACCUAUCGGGAAGGCAGCCUCGAGUGGUGCUAUUUAUGUAAAAGAGAAGUAACUCCAAGCCUGAAAGGGAAAACCGAAAGGUUCUGAUGCAGAAACACAGGCAGCGGUCGAUAGCCUGCCCCGGCUGACAUGUGCCACGCACAGCACAUCUGCGAUGGGAACACCAGGGGCCCACGUGUGUUUAUAUACAUCCACCUAGGUGUGUUUGUGUGUAUGCACAGCCUGCCUCUCCUUCCUCAGGCUGGUUAUGACCUUGUGCCUCCCUGGCUAAUCGACGUGUCGUAUCGUGAUCUCACAACCAGGUUACACUUAUGUAAUGCCACUGGCAUCAAGGCGAAGAAAAUUGCUAAAUUGCUUUGAGGAGGGGACAGACGCAUGGAAAAAGAGAGGCACCGGCUGCUGCUGCUGCUCUGGCACACGCUUCCCCUCUGUGUGGGGACAUGGCACGUCCCUUAGGGGCCUCGGUUCCCCAGCUGCGUGCCAGGCACAGCGACCACCCUCAGUGCUCCUGGCGUCUUGUGGCUGAACGCACAGCCUCUGGCAGCACCCUGCCCGCAGCAGCAGGGAAGGUGCUGCAACGCAGAGCUAUGUCACUGAGGUUGUCGGCAGAGGCUAUGGAGGUUUUGGCAGCCAGGAUUUCAGCACCUGGGAAGCACUUCGGGACAGUGGGGAAAUAAAUGAGCUGUGUGAUGGCAUUUAAGGCCUUAUCAUGAGUUUCAGAGCUAUUUCUGCGUUCAGAUGAAUGGGUGUAGCACACGUUGCUGAGCUAGAAUGUGUAGAGACAGGGAGGGUUGCUCUGUGUUCCCAUUCAGAAAGCUCUCAGCCAGCAGAGCUGUAACUUGCAGUCCUGGUGCCUCAGUUCAGGAGCAGGGCUCUGCAGCUAGGGUAGAUACAAUGGCUAUAUUAGCAGCAAACAAACCCCACAUUAUCCAGGGCCCUGAUUACCAGUAUGAUGGGGUGUUGGCUAUAUGCCUCUUAUGAGAAGAAGGUGGGGUAUUGCCUGGGCGUUUGCCCUGGAUUUGUAACUCCUUCUCAACUAGUUGUUUCGUGUGCCUCUCAAAACCUCACUGCUGGCACUGCUGUCUUCCCCUUCCGGGACUCCUGACAUUCAGGUACCAUGUUUUGCACGGACUCAACAGCCACGUACCCGUCAGUUACAUUGGGACUGCUCUCGUGAGUGCCCUGUGCAUGUUACUGUACGGUGGCUUGUGAGUUCUAUUUGGUACAUCCCUGGCUUUGGGCCGCGUGUUCCGCUUUGCAAGGCUUUACUUUGUUUAGCACAAACCACACUGAAGCACAAAUGACAUCUGUGAGGACUGAUAUGGUGUGGAAAGGGACCUAACCAAAAAAGCGCGGGUCAAAUCCUGGGCCUCGGCGGGGUCCCUUUAAUUGCUGUCAGGUCCCAGUGCCAGUUGACCUACUGAGCCCCUUGCCCCUUGCACCAUGGAGGGAUAAGAGCAGGUGAAGCCCAGUAACAGUUUAACUAUGAGAUUAACUCUCUGCCAGUUCCACUACAGAGGGCCCUCUGUUUCUCUGGACAAAAGGUGCUGACUCCAGCCUCCCCAACACGUUGGCCCACGUUCUCCAUCCCCUUCAUGGCCUGGCCUGCCUUCCCCACACCCUGCAGUUCCAGCCUGACUCUCAGCGAAGGCAGGGAGCCUGGGCUCUGCAGCCUUAGGUGGUGCUGCUGCCUGAAGGAGGGCCAGAGUAAGAGACAUCUUCCUCUCUACUCCCCUACACCUACAAGGUCCCAGUGCUCUUCAGAACCACACACCAAGGUAGGACGAGAUGCAGGGAGGCCUGUAACGGUCCAGGUGCUCGGCUGCGUGUCCUCCCUGCUCCUAAGCACCACUGAGACCCUGGUUUCUCAUGCCUUGAAAUUCAUGGGUGUUUGGCCAUGCCCCUCAACACAUGCAGGACCAGGCUCCCGAACUGUCCCAAAGCCCACAGAUGUCAAGGAGGUUCCUUCUUUGGGCUUCACUGUGGCAAUGAACACUGGUUUUACAGCUGGCUAGGCAAGAGGCAGCUAGGUGCAAGCUUAAUGAGGAUGACCUGUCUCAAAGGUUUCAUUUAAAAGAAGAAAGUACCGAGCGUUUUACUUAAAAAUGAACAGAUGUGUAGAGCAAACUCUACCCUUCCCUCGGGUACGGUGAAUCUGAUCACAGCGCAUCCUGCCCAGACCUGAGAGCAGACAGACAGACAGAGCUGCGUCACAAAGUGGAACUGACUGAUGUGACUCGCCCGCGCUGAGCUGGGGAUGAGUGAAACCAUGCUCGUGCAGACAGCGUGGAAAGCGAGCAGAGGUGAUAAGGAGUGGGGGUGUUAGUUGUUGUUGUUCUUGAUUCUGCGUGGGAGAGGGGAGCGAUAUUGAUGAAGACCGUAAACAGCAAUAGGUGCCACCAAGUAGUGGCAACAUACAGCCCUGAACGUACAGCUGCCAUUAGGCACCGAGUGCCUCUCUGCUGAGUGCUCGCACCGAGGGCAGCUUGGCUUCCAACAAGCACCCAUCACUCCCAAGAGGCAGCACCCCCUGAGAACAUGGGCUGCAGUCCUUAUGACCGUGUGCUGUGAGAGCCAUUUCCACCGGAGAGGCAAAUACUUUCCUUCCACUGUGUCACAGAGCCACAUUUCCUCUGAGUUACCUGCACCGAGUGUGUGGGGCUGCACUAAUGCAGGCCUGGCCGAGAAGGGGGCACGGAGACAGGGAUGGAGAUGGGCACAGAGACAGAGAUAGAGACAGAGACAGGGACAGGGCCGGCCAUGCCCAGCAUGCAGAUCGAGGCAGGUCCUUGCAGUGCGGUGGGGCUGACUGACACCCCGGUGCAGUGUGCGUGUGCCGUGUGAUGUGCUUGAGCAGCACAAGGUCAUGUUCAGCCCCCUGCCCUGUUACUGUGAGCAGCCAUGCACUAGUUUCAAGCGUAAUAACAUCAUGACGUAACAGCACACCAUGCUGCGAUGACACCAGCACAUGGAGCAAGCCACGGCGAUCUGAUCUCUUUCUGUACACGCUGAGAUGCACGCUGCCGCCUCCCAGGACAGGUGGGCGGCAGGUGGAUGGGGCUGGCGCUGCCCACGUCCCAGCGCCGGGUGAGAACGUGACUGCCGGCAAUGUCAGGGCUGGGAGAUUGGCUCCGCAGCUCCAGCUCUGCCUCAGCUGCGGCCGAUGAGUCACCGCACCUCUCUGUGCUCACUUCUUCCAUCUGUGGAAAGGUGGCAAUAACAUUUCCUCACCUUACGGGGGGUGGGAGGUGUGUGCAAGGAUGAACAAAUGUUUACAAAGCACCUCGGCGCAGCACAGGCUGGUUGGGCUGUGACUGGGAGGAACCAGCGCUCGCUCUCCGCAUUGCUCCUUCCUGGCCAGGCGAGGUGUCCUCAAGUAAACACUCCCCUCAGAGUCAACAGUCUUCAAUGAGCGCAGAUGAGAUAAUUCCUCAGGAGAGAAACAGAGAGCGAAGAGUCAGCGCGCUGCCAGUAAUUUCCAUGAAUUCUGUCAAAGGAACAGCGGAGUAACCUUUGCAGGAGAAAAAGAAGAAUCAACUAGAAAAACAAAUGAGCAGCGACCAAAUUCUUUCUGCUAAGUGGUGCCGUGGUCUUAGGUUUCACUUCCCAAAUGGGAAACAGAACAGAGAAGUGAAUCCCCUUGAAAUAAAAGUGAAGUUAAUAACGGGACGCCUGUAGCUGCUCACCACAUCCUGUGUAUGCUGAUCGCUCUGUUUAUAGCUGGCACGAGCCCUUCUAGACUCUUCUCUACCAAGUGAGCUGGUUGCGGAGCCCAGCUGCG
ensembl:lncRNA